rnacentral:rRNA from 1 species
UACGUAGGGUGCGAGCGUUGUCCGGAAUUACUGGGCGUAAAGAGCUCGUAGGUGGUUUGCCGCGUUGUUCGUGAAAACCGGGGGCUUAACCCUCGGCGUGCGGGCGAUACGGGCAGACUUGAGUACUGCAGGGGAGACUGGAAUUCCUGGUGUAGCGGUGGAAUGCGCAGAUAUCAGGAGGAACACCGGUGGCGAAGGCGGGUCUCUGGGCAGUAACUGACGCUGAGGAGCGAAAGCGUGGGGAGCGAACAGG